GUUGGCUGCAAGGAUGAUUCUUUUGAUCCCAGCUCAUUAUGAGGCCUUUACAAGGUCUGAGACAAGACUUUACCACACAAUCUGAGCGCCUUC